rnacentral:tRNA from 1 species
GGAGGAUUACCCAAGUCCGGCUGAAGGGAACGGUCUUGAAAACCGUCAGGCGUGUACGUGGGUUCGAAUCCCACAUCCUCCU